rnacentral:rRNA from 1 species
UUAAGCGACUAAGCGUACACGGUGGAUGCCCUGGCAGUCAGAGGCGAUGAAGGACGUGCUAAUCUGCGAAAAGCGUCGGUAAGGUGAUAUGAACCGUUACAGCCGGCGAUGUCCGAAUGGGGAAACCCAGUGUGAUUCGUCACACUAUCGUUAACUGAAUACAUAGGUUAACGAGGCGAACCGGGGGAACUGAAACAUCUAAGUACCCCGAGGAAAAGAAAUCAACCGAGAUUCCCCCAGUAGCGGCGAGCGAACGGGGAGCAGCCCAGAGUCUGAAUCAGCUUGUGUGUUAGUGGAACGGUCUGGAAAGUCCGACGGUACAGGGUGAUAGUCCCGUACACCAAAAUGCACAGGCUGUGAACUCGAAGAGUAGGGCGGGACACGUGGUAUCCUGUCUGAAUAUGGGGGGACCAUCCUCCAAGGCUAAAUACUCCUGACUGACCGAUAGUGAACCAGUACCGUGAGGGAAAGGCGAAAAGAACCCCGGCGAGGGGAGUGAAAAAGAACCUGAAACCGUGUACGUACAAGCAGUGGGAGCACCUUCGGGUGUGACUGCGUACCUUUUGUAUAAUGGGUCAGCGACUUAUAUUCUGUAGCAAGGUUAACCGUAUAGGGGAGCCGCAGGGAAACCGAGUCUUAACUGGGCGUUAAGUUGCAGGGUAUAGACCCGAAACCCGGUGAUCUAGCCAUGGGCAGGUUGAAGGUUGGGUAACACUAACUGGAGGACCGAACCGACUAAUGUUGAAAAAUUAGCGGAUGACUUGUGGCUGGGGGUGAAAGGCCAAUCAAACCGGGAGAUAGCUGGUUCUCCCCGAAAGCUAUUUAGGUAGCGCCUCGUGAAYUCAUCUUCGGGGGUAGAGCACUGUUUCGGCUAGGGGGUCAUCCCGACUUACCAACCCGAUGCAAACUACGAAUACCGAAGAAUGUUAUCACGGGAGACACACGGCGGGUGCUAACGUCCGUCGUGAAGAGGGAAACAACCCAGACCGCCAGCUAAGGUCCCAAAGUCAUGGUUAAGUGGGAAACGAUGUGGGAAGGCACAGACAGCCAGGAUGUUGGCUUAGAAGCAGCCAUCAUUUAAAGAAAGCGUAAUAGCUCACUGGUCGAGUCGGCCUGCGCGGAAGAUGUAACGGGGCUAAACCAUGCACCGAAGCUGCGGCAGCGACACUAUGUGUUGUUGGGUAGGGGAGCGUUCUGUAAGCCUGCGAAGGUGWSCUGUGAGGSWUGCUGGAGGUAUCAGAAGUGCGAAUGCUGACAUAAGUAACGAUAAAGCGGGUGAAAAGCCCGCUCGCCGGAAGACCAAGGGUUCCUGUCCAACGUUAAUCGGGGCAGGGUGAGUCGACCCCUAAGGCGAGGCCGAAAGGCGUAGUCGAUGGGAAACAGGUUAAUAUUCCUGUACUUGGUGUUACUGCGAAGGGGGGACGGAGAAGGCUAUGUUAGCCGGGCGACGGUUGUCCCGGUUUAAGCAUGUAGGCUGGUUAUCCAGGCAAAUCCGGAUAAUCAAGGCUGAGGUGUGAUGACGAGGCACUACGGUGCUGAAGUAACAAAUGCCCUGCUUCCAGGAAAAGCCUCUAAGCAUCAGGUAACAUCAAAUCGUACCCCAAACCGACACAGGUGGUCAGGUAGAGAAUACCAAGGCGCUUGAGAGAACUCGGGUGAAGGAACUAGGCAAAAUGGUGCCGUAACUUCGGGAGAAGGCACGCUGGUGUGUAGGUGAAGYCCCUGCGGRUGGAGCUGAGACCAGUCGAAGAUACCAGCUGGCUGCAACUGUUUAUUAAAAACACAGCACUGUGCAAACACGAAAGUGGACGUAUACGGUGUGACGCCUGCCCGGUGCCGGAAGGUUAAUUGAUGGGGUUAUCCGUAAGGAGAAGCUCUUGAUCGAAGCCCCGGUAAACGGCGGCCGUAACUAUAACGGUCCUAAGGUAGCGAAAUUCCUUGUCGGGUAAGUUCCGACCUGCACGAAUGGCGUAAUGAUGGCCAGGCUGUCUCCACCCGAGACUCAGUGAAAUUGAACUCGCUGUGAAGAUGCAGUGUACCCGCGGCAAGACGGAAAGACCCCGUGAACCUUUACUAUAGCUUGACACUGAACAUUGAGCCUUGAUGUGUAGGAUAGGUGGGAGGCUUUGAAGCGUGGACGCCAGUCUGCGUGGAGCCAACCUUGAAAUACCACCCUUUAAUGUUUGAUGUUCUAACGUUGGCCCCUKACCGGGGUUGCGGACAGUGUCUGGUGGGUAGUUUGACUGGGGCGGUCUCCUCCCAAAGCGUAACGGAGGAGCACGAAGGUUAGCUAAUCCUGGUCGGACAUCAGGAGGUUAGUGCAAUGGCAUAAGCUAGCUUGACUGCGAGCGUGACGGCGCGAGCAGGUGCGAAAGCAGGUCAUAGUGAUCCGGUGGUUCUGAAUGGAAGGGCCAUCGCUCAACGGAUAAAAGGUACUCCGGGGAUAACAGGCUGAUACCGCCCAAGAGUUCAUAUCGACGGCGGUGUUUGGCACCUCGAUGUCGGCUCAUCACAUCCUGGGGCUGAAGUAGGUCCCAAGGGUAUGGCUGUUCGCCAUUUAAAGUGGUACGCGAGCUGGGUUUAGAACGUCGUGAGACAGUUCGGUCCCUAUCUGCCGUGGGCGCUGGAGAAUUGAGGGGGGCUGCUCCUAGUACGAGAGGACCGGAGUGGACGCAUCACUGGUGUUCGGGUUGUCAUGCCAAUGGCACUGCCCGGUAGCUAAAUGCGGAAGAGAUAAGUGCUGAAAGCAUCUAAGCACGAAACUUGCCCCGAGAUGAGUUCUCCCUGAGACUUUAAG